rnacentral:rRNA from 1 species
UACGUAGGUGACAAGCGUUGUCCGGAUUUACUGGGCGUAAAGAGCGCGCAGGCGGUCGUUCAAGUCGAGUGUGAAAGCCCCCGGCUCAACUGGGGAGGGUCACUCGAUACUGAUCGACUCGAAGGCAGGAGAGGGUAGUGGAAUUCCCGGUGUAGUGGUGAAAUGCGUAGAUAUCAAGCGGAACACCGGUGGCGAAGGCGGCCUUCUGGACAGUGACUGACGCUGAGACGCGAAAGCGUGGGGAGCAAACAGG